rnacentral:rRNA from 1 species
CAGUCGAACGGUCCGCUUCGGCGGAUAGUGGCGCACGGGUGCGUAACACGUAUGCAACCUACCUUACAUUGGGGGAUAGCCUUUCGAAAGGGAGAUUAAUACCGCAUAAGACAGUAGCUGGGCAUCCAGUAGCUGUUAAAGAUUUAUCGAUGUAAGCUGGGCAUGCGUCCAAUUAGUUAGUUGGUGAGGUAACGGCUCACCAAGACGAUGAUUGGUAGGGGAACUGAGAGGUCAAUCCCCCACACUGGCACUGAGAUACGGGCCAGACUCCUACGGGAGGCAGCAGUAGGGAAUAUUGGGCAAUGGACGCAAGUCUGACCCAGCCAUGCCGCGUGCAGGAAGAAGGCGUUCUGCGUUGUAAACUGCUUUUAUAUAGGAAGAAACGACCCUUGCGAGGGGCAUUGACGGUAUUAUAUGAAUAAGCACCGGCUAACUCCGUGCCAGCAGCCGCGGUAAUACGGAGGGUGCAAGCGUUGUCCGGAUUUAUUGGGUUUAAAGGGUGCGCAGGUGGUUUAUUAAGUCAGUGGUGAAAGACGGUCGCUCAACGAUUGCAGUGCCAUUGAUACUGAUAGACUUGAGUAAAGUAGAGGUGGGCGGAAUUGAUAGUGUAGCGGUGAAAUGCAUAGAUAUUAUCAAGAACUCCGAUUGCGAAGGCAGCUCACUUGGCUUUUACUGACACUCAUGCACGAAAGUGUGGGUAUCAAACAGGAUUAGAUACCCUGGUAGUCCACACUGUAAACGAUGAUAACUAGGUGUUGGCCGAAUCUGGUCAGUGCCACAGCGAAAGCGUUAAGUUAUCCACCUGGGGAGUACGCCCGGCAACGGUGAAACUCAAAGGAAUUGACGGG